rnacentral:misc_RNA from 1 species
CAGAGUUCAUGCCCUUACGGGUAGAUCUCCCACCCUAUGUUAUUAUUACCUUCGUUGCUUUGGCGGGCCGCCAGGCCUUGGUCAGGCUACCGGCUCCGGCUAGUAAGCGCCCGCCAGAGGACCCCAAACUCUGAAUAUUAGUAUCGUCUGAGUACUAUAUAAUAGUUAAAACUUUCAACAACGGAUGUCUUGGUUGUGGCAUCGAUGAAGAACGCAGCGAAAUGCGAUAAGUAAUGUGAAUAGCAGAAUUUAGUGAAUCAUCGAAUCUUUGAACGCACAUUGCGCCCUUUGGUAUUCCGAGGGGCAUGCCUGUUCGAGCGUCAUUACAACCCUCAAGCAAUGCUUGGUAUUGGG